rnacentral:rRNA from 1 species
GCAAGUCGAGCGCCCACUUCGGUGGGAGCGGCAGACGGGUGAGUAACACGUGGGAAUCUACCUAUCUCUGCGGAACAACACAUAGAAAUGUGUGCUAAUACCGCAUACGCCCUUAGGGGGAAAGAUUUAUCGGAGAUAGAUGAGCCCGCGUUUGAUUAGCUAGUUGGUGAGGUAAUGGCUCACCAAGGCGACGAUCAGUAGCUGGUCUGAGAGGAUGGAC